rnacentral:lncRNA from 1 species
GGUACAUGGGUAUAUAUAUAUAUAUAUAUAUAUAUAUUGUUACGUGAUAAAAUCUAUUUUCUACGAGAGCCGAUUGCAAUCUAAUUAAAAUAAUAAUCAAAUAGUAUAAUAAAAUUAAUAUUAAAAAUUAAUUUAAAAUUUACAGACUGAAGGCAUGCAAUGCAUUAUCUUAAGGCAUUUCUCAAUCCUCGUGUAGGAUUGGAUUCGAGAACUCUAUCUCAAGAUACAACCGAUGACCUUCUCUAUGGGCAUGACCGUAGAAAGGAUGAUAGAGCUUUAACCCAGUAGAUAAAAGAUCAAAUGAAUAGAUUAAGAAU